rnacentral:rRNA from 1 species
AAAUAGGUUUGGUCCCGGCCUUUCUAUUAACUUCUAGCAAGA